UACGUAGGGUGCAAGCGUUGUCCGGAAUUAUUGGGCGUAAAGAGCUCGUAGGCGGUUUAUCGCGUCGAAUGUGAAAACCCGGGGCUCAACCCCGGGCCUGCAUUCGAUACGGGCAGACUAGAGUUCGGUAGGGGAGUCUGGAAUUCCUGGUGUAGCGGUGAAAUGCGCAGAUAUCAGGAGGAACACCGGUGGCGAAGGCGGGUCUCUGGGCCGAUACUGACGCUGAGGAGCGAAAGCGUGGGGAGCGAACAGG
rnacentral:rRNA from 1 species